CCUACGGGUGGCAGCAGUGGGGAAUAUUGCGCAAUGGGCGAAAGCCUGACGCAGCGACGCCGCGUGAGGGAUGAAGGUCUUCGGAUCGUAAACCUCUGUCCGCAGGGAAGAACGGUCACUGUGCUAAUCAGCCGUGAAUUGACGGUACCUGCACAGGCAGCACCGGCUAACUCCGUGCCAGCCGCCGCGGUAAUACGGAGGGUGCGAGCGUUAAUCGGAAUUACUGGGCGUAAAGCGCUCGUAGGCGGUCGGUCAAGUCACGUGUGAAAUCCCCGCGCUGAACGUGGGAACUGCCUUUGAAACUGGCAAACUGGAGUGUGUGAGAGGAUGGUGGAAUUCCGGGUGUAGGAGUGAAAUCCGUAGAUAUCUGGAGGAACAUCAGUGGCGAAGGCGACUAUCUGGCACAUAACUGACGCUGAGGAGCGAAAGCGUGGGUAGCAAACAGGAUUAGAUACCCCUGUAGUC
rnacentral:rRNA from 1 species